CGUAGGGUGCGAGCGUUAAUCGGAAUUACCGGGCGUAAAGCGUGCGCAGGCGGUUUUGUAAGACAGGCGUGAAAUCCCCGGGCUCAACCUGGGAACUGCGCUUGUGACUGCAAGGCUAGAGUACGGCAGAGGGGGUGGAAUUCCACGUGUAGCAGUGAAAUGCGUAGAGAUGUGGAGGAACACCAAUGGCGAAGGCAGCCCCCUGGGUCGAUACUGACGCUCAUGCACGAAAGCGUGGGUAGCAAACAGGAUUAGAUACCCUGGUAGUCCACGCCCUAAACGAUGUCAACUAGGUGUUGGGUGGGUAAAACCAUUUAGUACCGGAGCUAACGCGUGAAGUUGACCGCCUGGGGAGUACGGCCGCAAGGUUA
rnacentral:rRNA from 1 species